CAGUUCUGCGGGUGGCAGAUCUGGGAGCAUCGGCGCCUGACUCGGCCCAAGAAGGAUGUGUUUCCCCCGGCCUUAUCUCACCCUCCAGACCCACGGACCGCGCGCUCUCUCCGCCCUUUCCCUCCCGGUACUCGCGCCUGUACAGUUGCCUGGCGAUGCACAGCAGGGAAAUUGGUGUGUGAAGUAGUUUGGCGAAAGAGAUCGUAAAAAGCUUUAAAGGAAGUAAAUUUGCAUAACGAUCACUAAAGAUCAACUUUUCGAGGCCGAAAGUACUUCUUGCUGAAACACUAUUAGUGCUCUCCUUACUAUGUUUAAAACACACACACACACAACACACACAAAAACACCUCUGGAAACCUUCCGGACAAACUGUGGCUCCGAAGGCAAUCUGGGGCUCCUUUGUCUUGGCGAUGGCUGCAUCUCGGUAGAAACUGACCUGGACGAGGACAGAAGGAGAGACUUUCAGUACAUGGACCUAAGUAUACUGCUAGCCUCAGCUUCAGUGGAAGAAUUUAAAAGAGACGAGGGAAAUGAUAUUAGACAAAAACCAAACUCAAGCGAUUUUCUUAUUUGAGUUCAAAAUGGGCUGUAAAGCAGCAGAGAAAUCUCUCAGCAUCAGCAACACAUUUGGCCCAGGAACUGCUAACAAACGUACAGCGCAGUGGUGGUUCAAGAAAUUUUACAAAGGAAAUGAGAGUCUUAAAGAUGAGCAGCUCAGUGGCCGGCCAUUGGAAGUUGACAGUGACCAAAUGAGAGGAUCAUUGAAGCUGAUCCUCUUACAACUACACAAGAAGUCGCCAAGGAACUUAACCUUGACCAUUCUACAGUCAUUUGGCAUUUGAAGUAAAUUGGAAAGGUAAGAAAGCUCAUUAAGUGGGUGCCUCAUGAGCUGACCAAAAAUCAGGAAAAUCGUCAUUUUGAAGUGUCAUCUUCUCUUUUUCUACACAACAACAGCAAACCAUUUCUCCUUCCAAUUGUGACAUGCGACAAAAGCGGAUUUUAUACAACAGCUGGCAACAACCAGCUCAGUGGUUGGACUGAGAAAAAGCUCCAGAGCCAAACUUGCACCAAAAGGUGGUCAUGGUCACCAUUUAGUGGUCUACCACCAGUCUUAUCCACUACAGCUUUCUCAAUCCCAGUGAAACCAUUUCAUCUGAAGUAUGCUCGGCAAAUCCAUGAGAUGUAUCAAAAACUGAAAUGCCUGCAGCUGGCGUUGGUCAACAGAAUGGGCCCAGUUCUCCAUGACAACUUCAAUUGCAAGUUGCACAACCAGUGCUUCAAAAAUUGAAUGAACUGUGCUACGGAGUUUUACCUUGUUCGUCUGCCAUAUUCACCUGACCUCUUGCCAACUUACUAUCACUUCUUCAAGGAUCUCGACAGCUUUUUGCAGAGAAAAUGCUCCCACAACAAGCAGGAGGCAGAAAAUGCUUUUUCUAAGAGUUCAUCAAAUCCCAAAGUAUGCACUUUUUAUGCUAUA